CACGUAGGGGACGAGCGUUGUCCGGAUUCAUUGGGCGUAAAGCGCGCGUAGGCGGCUCGGAAAGUCGGGUGUGAAAGCCCCGGGCUCAACCUGGGAAUUGCAUUCGAGACUGCAUUGCUGGAGUACGGAAGAGGAAGGCGGAAUUCCCGGUGUAGCGGUGAAAUGCGUAGAUAUCGGGAGGAACAUCAGUGGCGAAGGCGGCCUUCUGGUCCAGUACUGACACUCAAGUGCGAAAGCGUGGGGAGCAAACAGG
rnacentral:rRNA from 1 species